rfam:HIV-1 isolate 759 from India nonfunctional gag protein gene, partial sequence.
GGCCAGGGGGAAAGGAACACUAUAUGCUAAAACAUUUAAUAUGGGCAAGCAGGGAGCUGGAAAAAUUUGCACUUAACCCAGGCC